CAUUUUUAUAACCUUAUGUCUGAAAUAAAAGCACACACCUAGUCGCAUGCGCAUAAUGUGCUAAAAUUUGAGCUUGAUGAGCCUUGAACUUGAGACAUGCCUGAAGCGCUUUUAAUAACUAUGGUUGUGAAUAACAAACCACAUUAAGAGAAUCCACUUCAAUCAUAAUUCUUCUGAACCCUCUAGAAUGAACAAGAAUCAGCGCUUCCCUACACGGUAACGCCUCCAAGAUUAGAGGAUCAACAAUGUUUUGGAAAAUGUUGACAAGACCAGCUGCAGAGCAUACUCUUUG
rnacentral:misc_RNA from 1 species